CCCCAACUGUGCACAUAAUUGUAGACCUGAACAAAUCUGAAAUAUUUUCGAGUUUGGACUGCUGUGCUUUCCUUGCGUUUCCAGGUCUAUGUCAUUUUCACAACCUCUUUUGUAAAAAAAAUGAAUGUUGAAAUCACAUAUAAAUUAUACAACUUUCAGCAACGGAUCUCUUGGCUCUCGCAUCGAUGAAGAACGCAGCGAAAUGCGAUAAGUAAUGUGAAUUGCAGAAUUCAGUGAAUCAUCGAAUCUUUGAACGCAUCUUGCGCUCCUUGGUAUUCCGAGGAGCAUGCCUGUUUGAGUGUCAUUCAACUUCUCAACCACACAUGAAUUGUGUGUGGCUUUGGAUGUGGAGGAUCUUUUUUUGCAGGCUUCUUUCAAAGUCUGCUCCUCUGAAAUGCAUUAGUGGUGUUCUGAGCUGCUACAGAUGUGAUAAUUAUCUGCAUCUCCAGUUAUUUGCUGUGACGCCGCUGCUAAAGAAAAGUGUUCCCCUGGACACAUUUGAUGAAUUGACCUCAAAUCAGG
rnacentral:rRNA from 1 species